GACGAACGCUGGCGGCGUGCUUAACACAUGCAAGUCGAACGGAAAGGCCCUGCUUUUGUGGGGUGCUCGAGUGGCGAACGGGUGAGUAACACGUGAGUAACCUGCCCUUGACUUUGGGAUAACUUCAGGAAACUGGGGCUAAUACCGGAUAGGAGCUCCUGCUGCAUGGUGGGGGUUGGAAAGUUUCGGCGGUUGGGGAUGGACUCGCGGCUUAUCAGCUUGUUGGUGGGGUAGUGGCUUACCAAGGCUUUGACGGGUAGCCGGCCUGGGAGGGUGACCGGCCACAUGGGCACGGAGAAACGGCCCGGACUCCUCAGGGGCGGAAGACGGGAGAAUUUCUCACAGGGGGCGGAGGCCUGAUGAGGAAACCCCGCGGGCGGGAUGCGGGCCUUGGGGUGGGAACCCGCUUCCGCCUGAAGGGAGGCGUGGGUGCCGGUAAUUGGAAAAGAAGCACCGGCAAACACCGU
rnacentral:rRNA from 1 species